rnacentral:rRNA from 2 species
GACCUCGGAUCAGGUAGAUCC